rnacentral:lncRNA from 1 species
CGGAAGCGCGAAAGCAGAUCCCCGCGAUGGAUGAACAUGAAAAGCCAAACAUAUCGAUCACUGUGUGCAGCGCUGGCAGCCCAGCUGUGGUGGCAGCAGCCUUGCAGGCUGUGCUGCAGUCGCACAAUCACACACAAGGCUGGGAGCAGUGUCCCUGCUGCAGGAACCAUCAGGACCACGGAGCUGCCCUGCCCGAGGGGCCCAAACGCCUGUGGCCUCUGCUCCACGACCCCCAGAGCACGUGGUGUGCAAGGGCUUGAGAUCCAGGUGACAUCUGUCUACUCUGUCCUGGAGCAAAACCUAUCUCCACGUGCAGCUUCUGUGGGAAUAUGGGGUGUGAUGGACACAGCCUUAGCCAAC